GCUAUUGAACAAAGUUUUGAUCAAGAUGGGAAUGCUAAUGGAACAUCAGUUGAAGUCAGGAUACAAAAAACACAGCACUCGGUAUUGUCCUGGAAGCUUGUGGAGGUCAUGACAGAAUACAAUAAGAUCCAGACUCAGUUUCGAGAACGCAGCAAAGGACGGAUACAGCGACAGUUAGAAAUAAAUUAUAUCGGACUCCCAAAUUACUAGACAAGCUCUGAAUGAAAUUGAGUCACGACACAAAGAUAUUAUGAAACUGGAAUCCAAUAUGCGGGCGCUACAUGACAUGUUUACGGACAUGGCUAUGUUUGUUGAGACUCAGGUCCUAGCACAAUGGGAAUCUGGUCUGUGACUGGGACUAUGAGGCAGUACUGCAAUACAAAUAAUCACAUGCUGAUCUACAGAAAUACUUUUGUACCCUGGCCAUCCCCAUUGGUUUAAGAGAUUAGUCACUGAAAAUGGAAGUAUGUGAACUUGACAUCUGCAGUUUAACUCAGUCCCAUUGUCUCCUGCACUGAGUGUUCUUUCUGCUCAGUACACGCUGUCUGAAUGCACAGGAGAACCGUGCUGGAUGGUGACAAAGAGCCUGGAGACUUUUUCCCCAUUUGAUGGGUUUUGUGGUGAGCUGGGUCAUGUAUAUGGACCUGGAGAAGAAAGAGGAGGUGUCAUUCAUUUGGAUGAAGAGGAAUUUUGGACAAUGGAUUAUGUCUGGAAAGGCAGGUGUUCUGUUUCACUGAUCAGCUCUCUCCCCAAAGUGCAGGGAAGCAACAAGCAUUAGCUUCAGACUCUUGCGGCAACUUUAUUCACAGUGAAUUUCAUUGCAUAUGUCCCGCUUGCUGAUGCCACCAUGGCAAUAGGUAACACAUGAAUACAAGCCAAGUUUGAUUUAAAAAAAAAAUUGCCUCAGGUUAGGCUGUUGUGUUCAUAUCUAGGUCCCCAAAUAAAUGGCUUGACUUGUACUAGCACUGAGUGCUAAGAAAUUCCCAAUAGGUACUCAUUUUUAAAAACAAUAUUGAACAAAGUCCACUGGGAAUGUGAAGCAGUUUUGCUAUAUAGAAAGAGUAGCAAGCUCCAGCAAACAGGCUGCUUUCAAUUAUCUUUGCACUAUACCCAUUAUUGGAGCAUGACUUUAGUCUAAGUCUAACUUUUCUAUGUUGCAGCUGUGCGGGUAUUGUAUUUCCACUAACCCCACCUCCCAGGCACCUGGGAGAUGCAAGGGGCUAAUCAUCUGUAUUGUAAAGUUUGAGCUGAGUUUUUGGGGGAGAAAAACCCAGAGCUGGCGUUGCUGGGCAAAGUAAUGUAAAACCUACCAUCGCUCAUUUCUCUCUCUCUUCCUCUCUCUCUCUGAAGGAGGAAUCAUUUUCAUUCGCCUCUAAAUGUCACAGAGUUGAGAAGCUUUGACCCAGCUGUUAAACUUAUUGGCCCACCCCGACCAUUUCACCAGUAGCUGCUUUUUUCUCCCUUUUCCUUUCUCUGCUAGAACUUUUCAAUCCUAAAUUCUCACAGAGGUGGUGAAGGACUCCAUUUUUCCUCUCUGUUUCCAUGAUUUCUAAAACAUGCAUUCUUGGAACAAAAUGGCCUCUUCCAUGUUGUGCUGGGACUUCUGGGGGUGAUGCUGCAUUUUGAUGUGUAGAGGGCGAUGGGGGAGCUCUUAGAGGGGUCACACGACCCUCUUCUGUAUGGGUCAUCUCGCCCAGAGCUCCCUUCCCCCCCGAUUGGUCAAAUCCACUCUUGGGAAGGUCCUCAGUCGCUGAAGCCCAUCCUGAUUGGCAGAGGGCUAUGGAGGCAUUCUUAGAGGAGUCAUGUGACCCUCUUUCGGCCUGAUCACUCCACCCCGGAACACCCCCAGAUUGGUCAGAUCUCCUCUCAGGGUGGUCCUAUGGGUGUGUGUGUGUGUGUGUGUGUCAUCCUGAUUGGCAGAGGGCGGUCGGAGGAGUUCUUAGAGGGGUCACAUGACACCCUUUACUUCUGUGUCCGUCUUGACCCUGAAAAUAGUAUCCCUGGGUCAGAGAUGUCAGGUUGGAACUGGCCAACUCACUGGGUAGAAUGUGCAUCUAGGGCUGCAUUUGGUGAAGAGAACCCCCACUUGCUGCAGUGCAGUGGGAAUCCACAUGAAGUUUCCUUAGGAUCAUUUUCCUAGCCAACAAAGGAGGAAUUGUGAGCUGUGUCAGGUCAGCUAGUCAAGUGGGAAGGAGCUGGUACAGUCCAGAAAGUGAAUCAGUCCUGUCUGGGAAAUCAGACCCAUGUUGAUAAACAGUGUGAUUGGAGGUUUUUCCCUGGGAGACUGAGUAUUCAGUUAAUCUCUUUCCUGCUUAGCCAGCAUGAACGCAGAGCUAUAAAUAGAAAUGCAAAGGAGUGAAGUGAUCUACCUGCGAAAUACAUGGAUUCCAGUGAUAGCCCUGGUUGGGGAGAGCUCUUUCUGGGGCCAGUGAUACCAUCUUCUAGAGUCUGUGCUGGCUGGAGGGGAUUAUGGAUAACAAGGACCACUGCCAUUGUCCAGACAGGUGCUCAGACACCAUGAUGAUACAUGCAGUGUAAACCCCAGACAGGCAGAUUAAAUAGACAGAAAUUGUGGCUCACAUGCUGCCAACCACUCGUUCUUUGCCCUUGCAGAGUGUGUUCCUCAGUUAUCAGCAUCCUUUCAGCCUAAGGUUGUCUAAUGUUUGCCUAGAUUAAGAAAGAAGUUGAGGUCCCAUGCUAAUACUAACCUUGUUUCCCAAUCUAGACAAACCUAAAACUAGAACAGGUGGAGUUACACUUAUUGGAAUCUGUCAUGUCACGGGGUAUUGUGGUGAUAGCAACGCAGCCUGGGGAAAGCUUGUAAAUACCCUAGGCAGACCAGCAGGUUCAGAAUAUGCAUAGGCCCCAGCAAACCCUGUCUCUCUCCAUUGCUCCCUGCAGUGAACACAGCCAGUCAGACUCCUGUGGCAGGUUUCUUCUCCAGCCCUUCAGGGAGGGCGCAGUGCUCUCAGAGAGUAUUUGCAGUGACACAGGCAGUCUUUCCAAAACAAGGUAACAAUUUAUUAGUUUAUUGGCCUAAAGAAUCUGAAAGUCUUUAGGUUAACAAAGAAAAGCCAAGGUUAAGAUAGAGUUCAGCCUGGCCAACCCUAGGCCUGGGCUCCCUAGUGCUAAGUGUGUGUGUCUCUCCAAAGGCCAACUCUUAACCCCCCCACCUUCCACCUUUCCUCUUCGUUCUCUAGCUGGAGCCUUUGUUCCGAGUACCUGUAGGAAGGUGGGGGAAAACUCCUUGUUGUUGGUUGCUAGAUGGGAACAUCCCACCCACUGUGGUUCCCAUUGUCUUUCCAGAUGCUCCAUUGAUACGGGGCGGUUUCAGCCAAUGCUUAACUACCUCUACCACCCCAGACAGAUGUGUGACACAACGCCGCACGUCCCCUCCUGCCUCAAGAGCACAUUUUUAAUCCUUUAUGUUCCAUGCAUAGCAAUUCAAAGCACAGAGGGAAAAUGAGGCAUGCGUAAGAAUCAUAAACAUAUUACCAAAAUUCCCACUUUGUCAUAUUUACAACCUCAGGGAGGCAAACCGAGACCGUGAGGGGAGAGCCUA